rnacentral:rRNA from 1 species
AUUGAACGCUGGCGGCGUGCUUAACACAUGCAAGUCGAGCGGCAGCGCGGGAGCAAUCCUGGCGGCGAGCGGCGAACGGGUGAGUAAUGCUUCGGAAUCUGCCCUUCAGUGGGGAAUAACCAGUCGAAAGACUGGCUAAUACCGCAUACGAACUGAGGUUGAAAGCAGGGGAUCGCAAGACCUUGCGCUGAUGGAUGAGCCGAAGUCGGAUUAGCUUGUUGGUGGGGUAAUGGCCUACCAAGGCGACGAUCCGUAGCUGGUCUGAGAGGACGACCAGCCAUACUGGGACUGAGACACGGCCCAGACUCCUACGGGAGGCAGCAGUGGGGAAUAUUGGACAAUGGGGGCAACCCUGAUCCAGCGACGCCGCGUGUGUGAAGAAGGCCUGCGGGUUGUAAAGCACUUUUAGUGGGGAGGAAGGUCUGCGACCUAACACGUCGUGGAAUUGACUUAACCCACAGAAAAAGCACCGGCUAACUCUGUGCCAGCAGCCG